AGAUUCACUCCAACGGUCAACUGGAUUCUCAAUUAACCCUAUUGAUUCUGUCUCUCACAGUUGAAGUGUACCUAUGAUGGAAAUUACAGACAUCUCUCAUCUCUCAAGUGGGUCAAUUUGCACAAUCGGUGGCUGUCCAAAUACUUUUUUGCCCCACU